rnacentral:rRNA from 1 species
CGUCAAAUCAUCAUGCUCCUUACGUUCUGGGCUACACACAUGAUACAAUGGUAAGUACAAAGGGAAGCCAAGCCGCAAGGCGGAGCAAAUCUCAGAAAACUUGCCCCAGUUCAGAUUGCAGGCUGCAACUCGCCUGCAUGAAGAUGGAAUUGCUAGUAAACGCAGAUCAGCACGCUGCGUUGAAUACGUUCCCGGGCCUU